GGCGAGUGGCGAACGGGUGAGUAAUACAUCGGAACGUGUCCUGGAGUGGGGGAUAGCCCGGCGAAAGCCGGAUUAAUACCGCAUACGCUCUGUGGAGGAAAGCGGGGGAUCUUCGGACCUCGCGCUCAAGGGGCGGCCGAUGGCAGAUUAGCUAGUUGGUGGGGUAAAGGCCUACCAAGGCGACGAUCUGUAGCUGGUCUGAGAGGACGACCAGCCACACUGGGACUGAGACACGGCCCAGACUCCUACGGGAGGCAGCAGUGGGGAAUUUUGGACAAUGGGGGCAACCCUGAUCCAGCAAUGCCGCGUGUGUGAAGAAGGCCUUCGGGUUGUAAAGCACUUUUGUCCGGAAAGAAAACCUCUGGGUUAAUACCCUGGGGGGAUGACGGUACCGGAAGAAUAAGCACCGGCUAACUACGUGCCAGCAGCCGCGGUAAUACGUAGGGUGCGAGCGUUAAUCGGAAUUACUGGGCGUAAAGCGUGCGCAGGCGGUUCGCUAAGACCGAUGUGAAAUCCCCGGGCUUAACCUGGGAACUGCAUUGGUGACUGGCGGGCUANAGUAUGGCAGAGGGGGGUAGAAUUCCACGUGUAGCAGUGAAAUGCGUAGAGAUGUGGAGGAAUACCGAUGGCGAAGGCA
rnacentral:rRNA from 1 species